GUCCGGAAUUAUUGGGCGUAAAGCGCGCGCAGGCGGUCCUUUAAGUCUGAUGUGAAAGCCCACGGCUCAACCGUGGAGGGUCAUUGGAAACUGGGGGACUUGAGUGCAGAAGAGGAGAGUGGAAUUCCACGUGUAGCGGUGAAAUGCGUAGAGAUGUGGAGGAACACCAGUGGCGAAGGCGACUCUCUGGUCUGUAACUGACGCUGAGGCGCGAAAGCGUGGGGAGCGAACAGGAUUAGAUACCCUGGUAGUCCACGCCGUAAACGAUGAGUGCUAAGUGUUAGAGGGUUUCCGCCCUUUAGUGCUGCAGCAAACGCAUUAAGCACUCCGCCUGGGGAGUACGGCCGCAAGGCUGAAACUCAAAGGAAUUGACGGGGGCCCGCACAAGCGGUGGAGCAUGUGGUUUAAUUCGAAGCAACGCGAAGAACCUUACCAGGUCUUGACAUCCUCUGACACCUCUGGAGACAGAGCGUUCCCCUUCGGGGGACAGAGUGACAGGUGGUGCAUGGUUGUCGUCAGCUCGUGUCGUGAGAUGUUGGGUUAAGUCCCGCAACGAGCGCAACCCUUGUCCUUAGUUGCCAGCAUUCAGUUGGGCACUCUAAGGAGACUGCCGGUGACAAACCGGAGGAA
rnacentral:rRNA from 1 species